GUCUUCAGCCAUGCCACCCUGAACAAGCCCAAUGUCUGAUCUCAGAAGCUAAGCAGGGUCGGGCCUGGUUAUUACUUGCAUGAGAGACCACCUAGGAAGACCAGGUGCUAUAGGCA
rnacentral:rRNA from 1 species